AUUGAACGCUGGCGGCAUGCUUUACACAUGCCAGUCGAACGGCAGCGCGGGCUUCGGCCUGGCGGCGAGUGGCGAACGGGUGGGUAACACAUCGGAACGUUCCCAGUAGUGGGGGAUAGCUUGGCGAAAGCCGGAUUAAUCCCGCAUACGACCUGAGGGGCAAAGCGGGGGUCCUUCGGACCCCGCGCAAUUGGAGCGGCCGAUGGCAGCUCAGCUAGUUGGUGGGGUAAAGGCCUACCAAGGCGAUGAUCUGUAGCUGGUCUGAGAGGACGACCAGCCACAUUGGAACUGAGACACGGCCCAGACUCCUACGGGAGGCAGCAGUGGGGAAUUUUGGGCAAUGGGCGAAAGCCUGAUCCAGCAAUGCCGCGUGUAUGAUGAAGGCCUUCGGGUUGGAAAGCACUUUUGGCGGGAACGAAAAGAACUGUGCCAAUACCGCGGUUCGAUGACGGUACCCGAAGAAUAAGCACCGGCUAACUACGUG
rnacentral:rRNA from 1 species